rnacentral:rRNA from 1 species
GGGGACCUGAGUGCAGAGAGGAAAGUGGAAUUCCAAGUGGUAGCGGUGAAAUGCGUAGAGAUUGGGAGGACACCAGUGGCGAAGGCGACUUUCUGGUCUGUAACUGACGCUGAGGCGCGAAAAGCGUGGGGAGCAAACAGGAUUAGAUACCCUGGUAGUCCACGCCGUAAACGAUGAGUGCUAAGUGUUAGGGGGUUUCCGCCCCUUAGUGCUGCAGCUAACGCAUUAAGCACUCCGCCUGGGGAGUACGGUCGCAAGACUGAAACUCAAAGGAAUUGACGGGGGCCCGCACAAGCGGUGGAGCAUGUGGUUUUAAUUCGAAGCAACGCGAAGAACCUUACCAGGUCUUGACAUCCCGUUGACCACUGUAGAGAUAUAGUUUCCCCUUCGGGGGCAACGGUGACAGGUGGUGCAUGGUUGUCGUCAGCUCGUGUCGUGAGAUGUUGGGUUAAGUCCCGCAACGAGCGCAACCCUUGAUCUUAGUUGCCAUCAUUUAGUUGGGCACUCUAAGGUGACUGCCGGUGACAAACCGGAGGAAGGUGGGGAUGACGUCAAAUCAUCAUGCCCCUUAUGACCUGGGCUACACACGUGCUACAAUGGACGAUACAAACGGUUGCCAACUCGCGAGAGGGAGCUAAUCCGAUAAAGUCGUUCUCAGUUCGGAUUGUAGGCUGCAACUCGCCUACAUGAAGCCGGAAUCGCUAGUAAUCGCGGAU